GCAGUCGAGCGAACGGACGAGAAGCUUGCUUCUCUGAUGUUAGCGGCGGACGGGUGAGUAACACGUGGAUAACCUACCUAUAAGACUGGGAUAACUUCGGGAAACCGGAGCUAAUACCGGAUAAUAUUUUGAACCGCAUGGUUCAAAAGUGAAAGACGGUCUUGCUGUCACUUAUAGAUGGAUCCGCGCUGCAUUAGCUAGUUGGUAAGGUAACGGCUUACCAAGGCAACGAUGCAUAGCCGACCUGAGAGGGUGAUCGGCCACACUGGAACUGAGACACGGUCCAGACUCCUACGGGAGGCAGCAGUAGGGAAUCUUCCGCAAUGGGCGAAAGCCUGACGGAGCAACGCCGCGUGAGUGAUGAAGGUCUUCGGAUCGUAAAACUCUGUUAUUAGGGAAGAACAUAUGUGUAAGUAACUGUGCACAUCUUGACGGUACCUAAUCAGAAAGCCACGGCUAACUACGUGCCAGCAGCCGCGGUAAUACGUAGGUGGCAAGCGUUAUCCGGAAUUAUUGGGCGUAAAGCGCGCGUAGGCGGUUUUUUAAGUCUGAUGUGAAAGCCCACGGCUCAACCGUGGAGGGUCAUUGGAAACUGGAAAACUUGAGUGCAGAAGAGGAAAGUGGAAUUCCAUGUGUAGCGGUGAAAUGCGCAGAGAUAUGGAGGAACACCAGUGGCGAAGGCGACUUUCUGGUCUGUAACUGACGCUGAUGUGCGAAAGCGUGGGGAUCAAACAGGAUUAGAUACCCUGGUAGUCCACGCCGUAAACGAUGAGUGCUAAGUGUUAGGGGGUUUCCGCCCCUUAGUGCUGCAGCUAACGCAUUAAGCACUCCGCCUGGGGAGUACGACCGCAAGGUUGAAACUCAAAGGAAUUGACGGGGACCCGCACAAGCGGUGGAGCAUGUGGUUUAAUUCGAAGCAACGCGAAGAACCUUACCAAAUC
rnacentral:rRNA from 1 species